AUGAGAUCGCUUCGCCGGCGCCCUGCGUCGGCUUUGCCCCUCAGUCGUACAGCCCGUCGUGCAGCCCCUCAGCCGCUCUUCCCUUUGCCCCGGCGUGAAGAACAACGAUCUGUCGAUCUAGUUGGUGUGGCUGUGACAGGAGAGAAUACGAGGGGCUCCUUGCAGCUGGGCUCUACUUGCCUCUACCAAACUAUUUUCUUUUCUUUACUCAUGUUCGCUAUGCUCUCUCAAUCAGACCGAAACAUUACCAUUGGCGUCAAUGUUCCCGUCAGUAAGUUCAAUCAGAUUUGGAUUUUAUUCAGAGCAGUUUUGAUCUAUAUUUCCAAGAGCAGUUUUGAUCUAUAUUUCCAAGAGCAGUUUUGA
rnacentral:rRNA from 1 species